UCUUCAAAUUAAUUAUUCGAAAAGUAUUUUCUAGAUAUUAAAAAGUCAAGAGACUCGAAAUUAAAUUUAUUAUUAAUUUAUUUCAAAUUUUAAUUCAACUUAGUCAAUUUAUUGAAUUCGGUCAUAAUUGAAAUCUAUUUGGCCAUAAUUGCUUUACAGUUAGCCAAUGAACUUAUUAAGUUGGCUAGAUUUUAAUAAAUUGAUUAAAAUUUCAAUUCAUUUACGUUAUCUCUUAAAUAGUUUAAUCCCCACGCCAAUUAAAUGUGUAAAUCUACCCAGGCCCAAAUGUUGGCUGAUCCAUACGGCCCAACAACAAUUAAAACCUCCCCCACCUUAAUUCUAAUUAAACCUACAAGCCCAGCAGCUUCAACAAACAACCCAACAACCCACAACCUGACCCGGCCCAACUCUAUUUUCCCCUUUUACCUUUACAGCAAUCAACAGCUACCACAAUAUCACCAAAAACCAACAUACAGUAACAACAGCCGAGAACAACGACAAUCGACGCCGAACAACGCUAAAACCACAGGACAUCAAAAAUGGUUUUUCAUCUCUCUCCUUGUUGAUCUUCUCUGGUCAUCCGCGAUUUCAGCCUGUCUCCAUCAACAUCUUUUCGGUUCUCUUUCUCUUCCUAUUUUUUCUGAAAAAAAUCAGACCAAAAGGGUUGUGUUUCUCCAUUGCAGACCUCUGAGAAGAGAGAUAUAUGGGAAUUCAAUGGUUUUUGGGAUCUUGUUUCCUUGAUUCAGUGGACAAACAAUUGCUCACCUUGAAGAACUCAAAUUGUCAAAAAUCCAACCUCCUCAAGUCUGAAUCUUUCAAAUUUACUCUGAAAAGUUCAUUGGACUCCCAUCUAUCGCAUUCCGUUGGGUUAAAUCCAACCCCCAUCGAGUCAAGCUUCAUUAAAGUCCAACAAUGUACUUAUAUCGCAAGACAACACUGGUAUACAAUUGUAUACAGAUGAUAUACAUUAGGAGGCAGCAGCUGCACAUUAUACCGUGGUUCAUGAUGAAAAAUGGAGUCGAAAUACGCAGCUUACCGCACUGAUAUACACCGUAUAUGCAGCGGUAUACUCAAAAACGCAGAAAAUAAGCUGCUGAUAUACAGCAGAUAUACAAGGGCAAAAAGGGGGCUAAAGUCCAUGGAAUUGGUCCAAAAUUGGACAGAUUUUUUAAUGGGCAAAAAGGGGCCCCAAUUCUCACUCUGCUCUCUUUAAUUAUCCACUAGUAUAUAUACACGCGCGAUGUGCGGAUAAAAAUAUUAUUUCUUAUCUUUUCGGAUUGUGAUAUUUGAGCAUGUUAAAUCAUCUUACUUUAAACAGAAUUUAAUUAUCAUAUUAUUCCUUAAUAAAAUGAAUCCCAACUCCAAAUCAUCCCUCUUCCCCCUCCCCCACCCCCACC